rnacentral:rRNA from 1 species
AGCGAACGCUGGCGGCAGGCCUAACACAUGCAAGUCGAACGAACUCUUCGGAGUUAGUGGCGGACGGGUGAGUAACACGUGGGAACGUGCCUUUAGGUUCAGAAUAACUCAGGGAAACUUGUGCUAAUACCGAAUGUGCCCUCCGGGGGAAAGAUUUAUCGCCUUUAGAGCGGCCCGCGUCUGAUUAGCUAGUUGGUGAGGUAACGGCUCACCAAGGCGACGAUCAGUAGCUGGUCUGAGAGGAUGACCAGCCACACUGGGACUGAGACACGGCCCAGACUCCUACGGGAGGCAGCAGUGGGGAAUCUUGCGCAAUGGGCGAAAGCCUGACGCAGCCAUGCCGCGUGAAUGAUGAAGGUCUUAGGAUUGUAAAAUUCUUUCACCGGGGACGAUAAUGACGGUACCCGGAGAAGAAGCCCCGGCUAACUUCGUGCCAGCCGCCGCAGUAAGAC